UGCUGGUGAAGUUGAAAAAAGUGUUUUGUUCCUGGUUUUAUGUAAUACGUAGGGCAAAGAGACCAUGAUCUCUUGGUAGGGCUCAUAAGUGCUUUGAGCCAUCUGAAUACGUCAUUAUCAGUCAUGGUAUUGAUCUCUGAACAAAAGCGCUAUAACAGGCAUGGAAUAUUGGAUCUUUAUUCAUUGUCGGCGACGAAAAAGUAAAUGGCCGCCACGCACGAAAGUUAGUACAUGGUCGGCAUAUGAAUAAUGGCUGCUCAUCCAGAGGAAGCCUGACUUCCUAUCUUAGCGAAGUGCUGAGGAAAUGUUUGAGCUCUCGUGGAAAGGACAGGAUUUAAACUCGACUGGUUGAAAAUUACCACAUUCAAGGCGCUUGGGUUGGGCAAGCAUGGAGUACUGGUCAGCGGCUGUCUCUAUCACUUGCGCAUGCUUCCUUGCAGUCCUUAUGCUGCUAGGAAUUAUGGGAAACAUUUUGGUCGCAAUAGCAACAUAUCAACGUCAGAUUCGCACGUUACCAGGCACCGUCUUCAUCAGGAACCUGGCCUUUAUAGACAUUGGGGGCUCGGCAAGCCUAGUGUUCAUGCUUGUGACGAUGGUAUGCCGAGGGGAGUGGGUGUUCGGUCAUGUAGGGUGUGAGGUCAGCGGCGUUUUGGUCGUGUUCUUCGGUACCUCAACUUUGCAAGCUCUCUGGGUCCUCAGCCUUAAUAGGUACUUUAAGAUAUGCAAACCAGCAAAGUACGACAGAGUUUUCAAAAGCAAGAUGCGGGCAGUUUUCUUAGCGAUUCCAUGGGUGACCCCGACGAUCUUUGCCAUCGCACCCGUCUUGGGCUGGUCUUCUUACCAGUAGCAGGUCUCCAAAUGCGUCUGCCAUUUUCACUUCAGAGAAUCAAUCUCCUACACUGUAACAUUCCUUGUCAUGUUCGUGGGAGCCCCACUAGGACUUAUCGCUUUCUGUUACUUUGGGAUAUACCAUGCGGUCAAAGUUCACCGGGUCAACUUCAGAAACUCGAUCA